UGGGACGAGAAGACCCUAUAGAGUUUUAUAAUUUUUAAUUUAAUUUAUUUUAUAUUUAUAAAAAAUUAAAUAAAUUUAAAAUUAUUUUGUUGGGGUGAUAAAAAAACAUAAAUAACUUUUUUAUAAUUUGAACAUAUAUAAGUGGUUAAUUGAUCCAUUAUUAAUGAUUAAAAGAAAAAA
rnacentral:rRNA from 1 species